UUAAGUUCAGCGGGUAUUCCUACCUGAUCCGAGGUCAACCUUAGAAAAAUUCCCUAGAAGGGAGAAGACCGGGUCCUGGGUUCCCUUGAUCCGAUACGUGCUCAGUUAAGAAGCUCAAUGUACCGGGGGUUCCAACAGGCCGCCGUCAUUGUCUUUAGGAGGGGUGGCACGCCCGAGGGCCUCCACCAAACCGUCCAACA
rnacentral:misc_RNA from 1 species